AACGAACGCUGGCGGCGUGCUUAACACAUGCAAGUCGAACGCGAACGGAACUUCGGUUCCAAGUAGAGUGGCGCACGGGUGAGUAACGCGUAGAUAACCUAUCUUCCUGUCUGGAAUAAUACGCCGAAAGGAGUACUAAUACCGGAUAUUCUUGCUUUUCAUAAGUAUGGCAAGCAAAGGUGGCCUCUGCAUAUGCUACUGCAGGGAGAGGGGUCUGCGUACCAUUAGCUAGUAGGUGGGGUAAUGGCCUACCUAGGCAACGAUGGUUAGCGGGUCUGAGAGGAUGAUCCGCCACACUGGCACUGGAACACGGGCCAGACUCCUACGGGAGGCAGCAGUGAGGAAUAUUGCGCAAUGGGGGAAACCCUGACGCAGCGACGCCGCGUGAGUGAGGAAGGCCUUCGGGUCGUAAAGCUCUGUCAAGAGGAAAGAAGUGCAUAGCGGUUAAUACCCGUUAUGUUUGACGGUACCUCUAAAGGAAGCA
rnacentral:rRNA from 1 species